CACUUUUGGCUAAGGAGCUCCAGAUUGCACCGAGAAAAAGAAUAAAGCGGCUAGCUCAGAAGAAAGAUAACUCGGUCACCCUUCUCCAUCCGUCACAGGGGAAGACCGGGACAUGAAUUGGCAAGCCAAAGGAGUUUCAAAGGGUCCUUGGUUUCCCAUGUAUCAUCAUCACCAUCCAUUUGUUUCUUUCAUCCAUCACAUUCCAACAUGGGUUAUCCCAGCUCAGACCAAUUCCUUGAGUGAAUGACCGAGGGCCUUGGGCUACGCAGAGACCUGGAAAGAGAGGGCAAUGGGCUUUCUAAGGCAUCGGGGCCUGAAUUCUCCAGCAUGACUGCGAUGCCUCAAGAAUCAUGGCGACAUCGGCCUUCUGGACCGGCCUUCCUCACCGUCGCUGAAUCCCCAGGGCCGGGAAUUUAUUGUUUGAAGGAGCCCAACAAUCCUGGCCUGUUCUUUCUUUUAUUGAUCCUUGGACGGAGUCCUAAAUAUUUCCAGCCUCCCCGGGAGGGUUGAAAUUUUGGCACCGGCGGUUCUUUUUCUGCCGGGAAGUGGAAGCCAAAGGAGUCAGAUUGCAGCCUUCACACAUUUCCAGGCCUUUGGAACAGUCUUUCCCACCGAGGAGGAGGGCUGGAACUGUCAGGCCAACUUCCCCUAAACAGAAACACAUGGCUGAACUUUGGCUUGCCAGGGAGGGGGGAAAAAAAAAAAUCAACCUGUGUGAGGAAAAGGCCUGGAUCAGGGAUCGAUUAGACAGGGCCAGAGCAAACCUGGAAUAUGAGAGAUUCGGUGGCUCUUGGAGGGGAGGGGGGGGAGAAAAAUGACUUUCAGAGCACAAAAAGGAGAGGAAAUUAAAAACCUUAGUAAAACCACACACUGCUGUGAACUAGGCCAAACGAAGAGGGGGACAGAUUUACAGAUCCCUGGAGCCAAUUUAGGGGGAGUGGUCUGCGUUCAAAAUUCAGACACCCCUCCCGGACUUCUUGUACCCUAAUAUUCAAUGAGACCCAUUCCGGACCCCCACUUCUACCCUUACGCACCGAUCCAGCAGUGGAUCGGAGCCACAAAGAGCAUUAUGUGAUCGGGUAGAACUCAGCAGAGCAGUGCAGAGCGGACGUAAUUGACUUUUCACUGCCAUCCUCACAAGCCCAGGAGUAGAGGCUGCACUGGGGCAGGAGGGGCAGUAACCGUAGUCCUCAAUGCUAAGGAGAUUCUGAGCUGCAUUGCUUCCCAGAAAAGGUUGCCAUAAGUUGGAGCCGUUGGGGGCUGCUCUAAGUUAUGCCAGGGACCAUUUUGGCCCCUGCAGCAGCCUGGUAUCUGGGCAGCAAAAGUGGCAUAAAGCCACGUUGGCCCUGCCUGGAUUGUGCCUUCUGUGCGUUCCAUCUCUCUGGAGACACAGCACAGAAUCUGGCCCAAUGAUUGCCCAACGGGAGAAAAUACAGAGAAACCUUCAACGAAACAGUAGCUGCCGUACACGGGCCUUUUAGCUAAAUGCCAAGUUCUAGGAGAAAAUCCCACAGAAGCACUUAGAAUCUUUAUAUUAAAUACCCAACGAGUCCAUCAGGAUUAAAGGCAUUGCCGUAAAUUCCAGCCGAAUUAAUAACCAUUAGGCCAUCAUGUGAAAACACUCCUGAGCUGGUGUGCAUAAGCCUCGUUGUAAAUCAUCAGUAGCCAAUCCUCUUUUCACAAACAGAUCCGUCCAUUUGUCAGCCGUGCUUCAUGAGACAAAUUAAAAUGUUCGUGUAACAUCGUACAACAGCAAGGCAGAAACUCAGCGGGCAGUUAGAGCUCCCGCAUGGACAUGCGGGCAGCGUCCUGCUAUUCGUCAUCCUUUAACACGCCGCCGACUGGACAACAGCCUGGGGAGGGACAGCUGAUAUGCCACCGCUUUGUUCUGACGCUUUCCAAGUUCCUGGUGGAAAUGAUGAAGCGCGCAACUGGUUUUAUGCACAGAUAAAGCAGCCUACAAAAUUCUACUGCCCCCUUAGGAAGCUGGUUUGCUGUUUUUGAUUUGCAAGAAAACUGCUCUGGCCAAGAUUGGUCAUACAUGACUAGUGAUUGUGAGUGCCCAACUUGACAGGCCUUCAAAUAAUAAAAGAAACAAAUAACAUCA
rnacentral:lncRNA from 1 species